CUUUCAGUCCUGUAUAUCAAUCUAUGUAUCUAAUACCUAUCUAUAUGUAUGUGUGUAUAUACAUUCAAACGCGAUUAUGUUUUUAUUGUAGCCGGAUUGUCUUCUUUUUUUUCAUCGUAAGUAUGAUCUUUGGUUAAGGUUUUUGGUCUUUGAUGAUGGGUUUUUAUCCGUAUCGAGGAAGCAAUUUGACGAAGGGGUAUUAUAGAUUGGGAAAAAUGCAUUUACAGAAAAAGGAUGAAAUUUCAUUUUUAUACCGAAAAUUUGCAGGAUGUGAUCAAUGAAAUUGCUGAGGGUGGUAUUGAGAUGUUUCCACUGCAUUGAUAAUUCUUAUGGGCCAAACUAAUGUGAUAAGUCUGUUGUUUGUGGCUGGUGUUUGGGUGGCAUCAUAUGCGUUGGUAGCCGUGGUUGGUAUCUUUCAGAUAUUCAAUUGCCUCAGAACUUCAAUUGUGGGUUAAUCGAAACAUUUGGAGAAGCCUUUAAGGGGAAGGAGAAUAGGCAAGAGCUGUGAUUGGUUAUGCUAGCUGGUUAUUGGCCCUGCAGCCAGUGGAAAGUCGAGAAAUCAAACCCUACUAGAAUUUCAUCGAACGUUGCAAGUAGUAGAUAUAUCAAUCUCUGUCAGAUACUUGAAUUGAAAGCCUCAUUUGUUGAUAAAUCAAUACAUGGCUCCACAAUUUCAGAAGCUUAAUACAUGUCUUAUGGAACUGGUCAAUACACAUUUCACGAUUACCUUUUUGCCGCUUGGUUUGUGUACAGAGAAAAGUAUACAGUACAUCCUGCCACGGAUUGACAACUGCAUUCAGUACAGAAAGGAUGCAUUUUAAGAUAAAAGAUUUCGAUGCAGAGGAUGGUGAUGAGAUUGAACUUUGGUUGUUCCUGGUUUUUUGUCCAUGAAAUUUUCCACCCUUCAAUUUUUGUUUUGUUUUGUUUUGUUUUGUUUUGAAUGGGUUACUAUAGUUGGUUUUUGAAAUUCAUCACCAAAUUGUGAAAUUGAUUCUGCGAUGAGUUUUGGAUUUUUUUUUUUUCACAUUUCAAUCUGCAUCAGCUUGUAAUUUUCAGCAAUCUUUCCCUUAUUGAAUAAAUUA